rnacentral:lncRNA from 1 species
AAAAGGAUCGAGAGAGAGAGAGAGAGAGAGAAAUGAAAAAAAAAAUGAAGAAGGAGGAGGAAUAGGUGUUGGCUUUUCAAUUUCCAUUCUUUACUUCUCCUUAUUUUCAAGAGGUAAGUAAAAAUUAUGUAAUUGAAUUUUUAGGGUUCAUGGAAAAUUACUCAAAAUUGGAAAUUUAGCUAGAAUAUAUAUAUAUAUAUAUAUAUAUAUAUAUAUAUAUAUAUAUAUAUAUAUAUAUAUAUAUAUCUCUGUGUGUGUGUGAAAUGGUUUUGUAAUUUAGAGCUUGAAUCUUUGAUUUAUUGCGUGAAUAUGAUAUAAAACACCUUAUUUGUAGUUUAUUAUAGUGAGAUAUGAAGUUAAGGUUAUAUUUUGGUAUUUAUAAGCAAUUUUCGUGCAAAAUUCAUGGACAGGUGUUAGUUCUGAAAUUCUGCCCAGAAAAGUGCUAUUUCUGUCAAGGGUUUUGAUGCCUAAUUUCAAUAUACAGAAAUUGGUGCCAGAUUUUUAUAUUCUGGAAUUUUAGAGCUGUUUUUGUCAAACCUUGGAUUUCCAGAUUUUUAAAGGUUUGAAUGAAUUUAUAUGAUAAAUAUUGAAGCCUAUGUAUUGGACUAACUAUGUAUAGGGGUUGUAUAUGCAUUAAAGUAGUGAUUUUAAGGAAGUGUGAGUGGUGUAAUGGAUUUGAUAAUGUCUGGUGACAAGUUGAUAAAUCAUUAAAGAGAAGAAAAGUUGGAGAAUUGGAGAUGUAAGAGUAAGUAUAAAAGUCGAGAAGUUAAGUGGUGGAUUUAUAUUAAUUUAAUUGACAGAUUUUAAUUCGAGAAAUUAUAUCAUUAUUUCAGUUGGGAACGUGGAAGCUUGGAAAUGUUCUUUGUAGGGUUGAUUUCCACCGAACUCCAAGUACAAAAUCGGGCUCAGUUUACCAAUUUCAUCGACACCACAAAGGUUGAGACAACUCCAAAAACCACCACUGUCGCCGCCGUACUCCGGUUGCUAUAGGUUGGAAAGUGAAGUCCUAUGAUGUGCCCACAAAGGAUUAACCACAAAGGUCAAAGUAAAGUAUAUCAAGAAGCUGAGAAGAGAGUCUCACAAAGAGAAGAGAAAAAUAGGCACACACCAUGGAGGCCGAGAGGAAGGUGGGAUUAUAUGCCAAGUAAAUGUCCAAAAUAGGUAAGUUAGGUUAGGGUUAAAUUGUGGACCAAAACAAGGCUCGACUCAAUUAAAGUGAGAUUCAAAAUAAUAAUAUAGCCUUCCAAGGAAAUGGGGCGAUCGUGAGCAACACUAUUUAAAAUAGGUUGCUUCGAACGGUCCAUAAAAAUGUGGAUUGUGUUGUCUCGAUAAUUGUGUCGAUGUACUAGUCAAUCAUAUGGCCAAGGCCGAUUGAUAAUAAAAACCAAGGUUACAUCAUCGCCCGAGGAGGUCGUUUGACAACAAAUUGCCUAACAUUCUUCAAUUUAAUCAGAUAUUUAUCCAUAGAUCUGUGAGUGAAAAAAUAUAAAUAUUUUUAAGUAUUUAUAAAUUAAGUAUAUUAUUGAAAUAUGUGCAAUUAUGUGUUCGAUUAUAUGAUUAUUAUGGAAAUCUCUUUUAUUAUGAUACAUGUGGAAUUUCAAGGAUUAUUUAUUGUACGUUUGUGACAUGGUAUAUGAGACAUGUGAUAUUGAGAUUUGUUUGGUAUGUGAGACGUGAUAUUGAGAUUGACCAGAAAAGUAUUCGUGAUUAUGUACUUCUUCUAGUUCCCAGAUGGGUUUUGGCCGUAUUCUAUCCUACACGGAGGGUCUUGACCGGAUAUUGGUCUCGACCAUGUACAUAUAGUUCACAGAGGGGCAUUGGCCGUGUUUUAGAAUUGAUUACCAGAGGUUUUUGAGACCGACUUUCGUUUACGGAGGGGGCCAAAGGCCCGUGGCGAAAGUACUUAGCCCUAGGGGCGGAUUACAGAUUUUAGUCAGAGGGUACAUUUUUUGUGGAUCAUAUGUGAUGUGAUGAAAUGAUGGUAUAGAUAUCAGCUGAUGACUAUAUCGUGAUUAAGAGAUGAUAUUUACAGUGUUUUGAGAAUGUCUCACUUUUUGUUUAUAAUUGUAUGAGGCUAUCAUAUGAAAUAUUAAAUGAAAUGAACUUGAUGUUUGAUAAAAAUGCUUAAAGGAGAAAGUAUGAUUAUUUUUGAACUAUUCCACUCACAAGGCUGUUAACUCAUAUUUUUCUAAAAUUAUUCUUCCAAGUAAUAUUGGUCCUUGAUAGCUUGAGGAGCUUGGUGAUUUCAGAGUUAGAGCCACACGACAUAUUGAAUUAUAUGAGUCAAUUCGAUAAACCACAAAGUAAAUUUUGGGCCCAUCGCAUUAUGAUUUUAUAAACAUUUGAUUUUGUUGCUUUUUUUUUUUUUUAAAUAACUCAUAGUCAGCUUUGGUGACAGAUUUGACAUCUAGUCAGCAUCUAUCAUCGGCGCACGUCACGUUUCGGGUCCACUAGUGUGAUUUGAGACGGGUCGUGUCAAAUAACUUGUCACUUCUCUUGAUAGAAAAAAAAAUAAAAAUAAAAAGAAACUGUAUUUUGGUCCUCUCACAUCUAUAUAGCUAUCAGAUUUUUUCCUCUCCUUUCUAUUCACGAAAUUGUUCUUUCCAUAUUACUGUGGCAUCGUUCCUUUCUUGAGUAACAUGAAAGAUCUUCCUUGUCGAUAAUAGAAGGUUUUAUCUGUCUAUUUUUCCUCUAUUUUGUUUUUUAUUGUUUGGUCUUUCCCUUUAACAUGUCAUCUAUCUAAUUCUUUGCUUAUAUAUUUGGCAGGUAAAGCUUAACAAUAUGUUGUACCACACAUCUAGAAUAAACUGCUUGGCUUGGUCACCUACUAACAACAUGGUAGCCACGGGAUCACUUGACACAUGCGUUAUUAUAUACGAAAUAAAAAAGCCAGCAUCAAGUCGAAUAACUGUCAAAGGAGCUCAUUUGGGUGGAGUCUAUGGGUUGGAAUUUACUGAUGAAUACAAUGUGGUGAGUUCGGGCGAGGAUGCUUUUGUACGUUUAUGGAGAAUAACGCCGCAAUAAUGUACAAGGUUCGUUACCCUUGAGUUAUUUGCAUUUGGCUUCCUUAAAGUUGAAAAAGAGACAAACAUUCAUGGAUGAAAAAUUUGGUUGCCUUGAGGUCUUGACAGUUUUUUAAGAGACUUGUCUUUUGCCAUCCUUUUAUAGUUUGCUAACGACGGACAUCAUUGCAGCCCAAAAACGUGCACAUAAGGUUUGCUUGAAGAUAAUCAUUAUGUCACAAUAUGUGUAAAUCCAUCGCAUCCUGCCAAUUUGCUGCAUUGUACGAGUUAAGAUAUUAACUUGGCACAUAACUUGUCUAGUUUUUUAUUUUUGUUUUUUGAUGUGUGUGCAGAACUUUGUACUUAUUCAUGUUUAUGUUUCAGCGUCCUUUCGAUUUUGGUUUUGUAAUUAGUUAAUGAGAAUGAUGCAAGCGUGUUACUAUUAUUGUUCAUGAGUUGCUUUGUUUUUAAUAAUAUGCAAGAGGC